rnacentral:rRNA from 1 species
AUGGGGCAGCAGCAAAGCAGGCUUCCAGUAUCUCAAGACAUUGUCCUCGAAUGUGGCGACACUAGCGGAAAAGCUAAAGAGGAGAGCACAAGAAGUGUGCAACCUUUAAUCAUCAGCAAAAGAUGGGCACAACCUUUGAGCAACCGACCUUUACUUGAACCUGUUUUGGGUGCGGUGCCAAUACUACCCGAUCCUUCGAUUUCUGUACAUGGACAUGGUUUGGGUGAGUUGCUGCCAGAGCUGAUCACUAUUCAAACUGCUUAUGUUCGUGUUGUCAACUCUCCUUUGAUUUCUUUACAUGGGCCUUGGUUGGGUGAGGUGCGAGGAAUGAUUAGUGGAGUCAAACUACUUUGA